UCCCUAGUAGUUCAGAGGUUAAAGUGUCUGCCUGCAAUGCAGAAGACCCGGGUUGGAUCCCUGGGUUGGGAA
rfam:TPA: Bos taurus chromosome 18, whole genome shotgun sequence.